rnacentral:tRNA from 1 species
GCCCCAGCGCAGCAGGCGCGCGCUGAGCUCGGGGCUCGGCCAGCCGACGUUCGGGUCGCCCGCCGGGGCGC